rnacentral:rRNA from 1 species
UGCAGUCGAACGAUGAUGCCCAGCUUGCUGGGUGGAUUAGUGGCGAACGGGUGAGUAACACGUGAGUAACCUGCCCCUGACUCUGGGAUAAGCGUUGGAAACGACGUCUAAUACUGGAUAUGACUGCCGGCCGCAUGGUCUGGUGGUGGAAAGAUUUUUUGGUUGGGGAUGGACUCGCGGCCUAUCAGCUUGUUGGUGAGGUAAUGGCUCACCAAGGCGACGACGGGUAGCCGGCCUGAGAGGGUGACCGGCCACACUGGGACUGAGACACGGCCCAGACUCCUACGGGAGGCAGCAGUGGGGAAUAUUGCACAAUGGGCGAAAGCCUGAUGCAGCAACGCCGCGUGAGGGAUGACGGCCUUCGGG